rnacentral:rRNA from 1 species
CCCUACGGGGGGCAGCAGUUGGGAAUCUUGCGCAAUGGGGGCAACCCUGACGCAGCGACGCCGCGUGCGGGAUGACGGUCUUCGGAUUGUAAACCGCUUUUCUCGAGGACGAUAAUGACGGUACUCGAGGAAGAAGCCUCGGCUAACUCCGUGCCAGCAGCCGCGGUAAGACGGAGGAGGCAAGCGUUGUCCGGAAUUACUGGGCGUAAAGCGCUCGUAGGCGGUCAGCUACGGCGGUGGUGAAAGCUCCCGGCUCAACUGGGAGAGGCCCGCCGCAACGGGUUGACUCGAGGGUGGUAGAGGCAGAUGGAAUUCCUGGUGUAGCGGUGAAAUGCGUAGAGAUCAGGAGGAACACCCGUGGCGAAGGCGGUCUGCUGGGCCACACCUGACGCUGAGGAGCGAAAGCUAGGGGAGCGAACGGGAUUAGAUACCCUGGUAU